CUACGGGUGGCACCAGUGAGGAAUAUUGGUCAAUGGGCGCAAGCCUGAACCAGCCAUGCCGCGUGCAGGAAGAAUGCCCUAUGGGUUGUAAACUGCUUUUAUUUGGGAAUAAACCUCUUUACGUGUAGAGAGCUGAAGGUACCAAAUGAAUAAGCACCGGCUAACUCCGUGCCAGCAGCCGCGGUAAUACGGAGGGUGCAAGCGUUAUCCGGAAUCAUUGGGUUUAAAGGGUCCGCAGGCGGAUUUAUAAGUCAGUGGUGAAAUCCUAUCGCUUAACGAUAGAACUGCCAUUGAUACUGUAAGUCUUGAAUUCGGUCGGAGUGGGCGGAAUGUGUAGUGUAGCGGUGAAAUGCAUAGAUAUUACACAGAACACCGAUAGCGAAGGCAGCUCACUAGGCCUGAAUUGACGCUCAGGGACGAAAGCGUGGGGAUCAAACAGGAUUAGAUACCCGAGUAGUC
rnacentral:rRNA from 1 species